GGUUAAGCGACUAAGCGUACACGGUGGAUGCCCUGGCAGUCAGAGGCGAUGAAGGACGUGCUAAUCUGCGAUAAGCGUCGGUAAGGUGAUAUGAACCGUUAUAACCGGCGAUUUCCGAAUGGGGAAACCCAGUGUGUUUCGACACACUAUCAUUAACUGAAUCCAUAGGUUAAUGAGGCGAACCGGGGGAACUGAAACAUCUAAGUACCCCGAGGAAAAGAAAUCAACCGAGAUUCCCCCAGUAGCGGCGAGCGAACGGGGAGCAGCCCAGAGCCUGAAUCAGUGUGUGUGUUAGUGGAAGCGUCUGGAAAGGCGCGCGAUACAGGGUGACAGCCCCGUACACAAAAAUGCACAUGCUGUGAGCUCGAUGAGUAGGGCGGGACACGUGGUAUCCUGUCUGAAUAUGGGGGGACCAUCCUCCAAGGCUAAAUACUCCUGACUGACCGAUAGUGAACCAGUACCGUGAGGGAAAGGCGAAAAGAACCCCGGCGAGGGGAGUGAAAAAGAACCUGAAACCGUGUACGUACAAGCAGUGGGAGCACGCUUAGGCGUGUGACUGCGUACCUUUUGUAUAAUGGGUCAGCGACUUAUAUUCUGUAGCAAGGUUAACCGAAUAGGGGAGCCGAAGGGAAACCGAGUCUUAACUGGGCGUUAAGUUGCAGGGUAUAGACCCGAAACCCGGUGAUCUAGCCAUGGGCAGGUUGAAGGUUGGGUAACACUAACUGGAGGACCGAACCGACUAAUGUUGAAAAAUUAGCGGAUGACUUGUGGCUGGGGGUGAAAGGCCAAUCAAACCGGGAGAUAGCUGGUUCUCCCCGAAAGCUAUUUAGGUAGCGCCUCGUGAAUUCAUCUCCGGGGGUAGAGCACUGUUUCGGCAAGGGGGUCAUCCCGACUUACCAACCCGAUGCAAACUGCGAAUACCGGAGAAUGUUAUCACGGGAGACACACGGCGGGUGCUAACGUCCGUCGUGAAGAGGGAAACAACCCAGACCGCCAGCUAAGGUCCCAAAGUCAUGGUUAAGUGGGAAACGAUGUGGGAAGGCCCAGACAGCCAGGAUGUUGGCUUAGAAGCAGCCAUCAUUUAAAGAAAGCGUAAUAGCUCACUGGUCGAGUCGGCCUGCGCGGAAGAUGUAACGGGGCUAAACCAUGCACCGAAGCUGCGGCAGCGACGCUUAUGCGUUGUUGGGUA
rnacentral:rRNA from 1 species